AGCGAACGCUGGCGGCAUGCCUUACACAUGCAAGUCGAACGGUAACAGGUUAAGCUGACGAGUGGCGAACGGGUGAGUAAUAUAUCGGAACGUGCCCAGUCGUGGGGGAUAACUGCUCGAAAGAGCAGCUAAUACCGCAUACGACCUGAGGGUGAAAGCGGGGGAUCGCAAGACCUCGCGCGAUUGGAGCGGCCGAUAUCAGAUUAGGUAGUUGGUGGGGUAAAGGCCCACCAAGCCAACGAUCUGUAGCUGGUCUGAGAGGACGACCAGCCACACUGGGACUGAGACACGGCCCAGACUCCUACGGGAGGCAGCAGUGGGGAAUUUUGGACAAUGGGCGCAAGCCUGAUCCAGCCAUGCCGCGUGCGGGAAGAAGGCCUUCGGGUUGUAAACCGCUUUUGUCAGGGAAGAAAAGGUUCUGGUUAAUACCUGGGACUCAUGACGGUACCUGAAGAAUAAGCACCGGCUAACUACGUGCCAGCCGCCGCAGUAAUAC
rnacentral:rRNA from 1 species